UCGUCAUGGCGCUGCUUUUUUCUUUGGUUAUCUAGCUGUAUGAGUGUUAGAAGACGUCAUAAAGCUAGGUUACCAAAGUUAAGAACUGCCCCUCUUCAUCG
rnacentral:pre_miRNA from 1 species